GGCAUGGUGGCCGAGUGGUCUAAGGCGCUGGCUUAAGGCGCCAGUCCGUCAGGGCGUGAGUUCGAAUCUCACCCAUGUCA
rnacentral:tRNA from 1 species